rnacentral:rRNA from 1 species
GGUUAAGCGACUAAGCGUACACGGUGGAUGCCCUGGCAGUCAGAGGCGAUGAAGGACGUGCUAAUCUGCGAAAAGCGCCGGCGAGGUGAUAUGAACCCUUGACCCGGCGAUGUCCGAAUGGGGAAACCCAGUGUGUUCCGACACACUAUCGUUAACUGAAUACAUAGGUUAACGAGGCGAACCGGGGGAACUGAAACAUCUAAGUACCCCGAGGAAAAGAAAUCAACCGAGAUUCCCCCAGUAGCGGCGAGCGAACGGGGAGCAGCCCGGAGUCUGAAUCAGCUUGUGUGUUAGUGGAACGGUCUGGAAAGUCCGACGGUACAGGGUGAUAGUCCCGUACACGAAAAUGCACAGGUUGUGAACUCGAAGAGUAGGGCGGGACACGUGGUAUCCUGUCUGAAUAUGGGGGGACCAUCCUCCAAGGCUAAAUACUCCUGACUGACCGAUAGUGAACCAGUACCGUGAGGGAAAGGCGAAAAGAACCCCGGCGAGGGGAGUGAAAAAGAACCUGAAACCGUGUACGUACAAGCAGUGGGAGCCUCUUUAUGGGGUGACUGCGUACCUUUUGUAUAAUGGGUCAGCGACUUAUAUUCUGUAGCAAGGUUAACCGUAUAGGGGAGCCGAAGGGAAACCGAGUCUUAACUGGGCGUUAAGUUGCAGGGUAUAGACCCGAAACCCGGUGAUCUAGCCAUGGGCAGGUUGAAGGUUGGGUAACACUAACUGGAGGACCGAACCGACUAAUGUUGAAAAAUUAGCGGAUGACCUGUGGCUGGGGGUGAAAGGCCAAUCAAACCGGGAGAUAGCUGGUUCUCCCCGAAAGCUAUUUAGGUAGCGCCUCGUGAACUCAUCUUCGGGGGUAGAGCACUGUUUCGGCUAGGGGGCCAUCCCGGCUUACCAACCCGAUGCAAACUACGAAUACCGAAGAAUGUUAUCACGGGAGACACACGGCGGGUGCUAACGUCCGUCGUGAAGAGGGAAACAACCCAGACCGCCAGCUAAGGUCCCAAAGUCAUGGUUAAGUGGGAAACGAUGUGGGAAGGCACAGACAGCCAGGAUGUUGGCUUAGAAGCAGCCAUCAUUUAAAGAAAGCGUAAUAGCUCACUGGUCGAGUCGGCCUGCGCGGAAGAUGUAACGGGGCUAAACCAUGCACCGAAGCUGCGGCAGCGACACUAUGUGUUGUUGGGUAGGGGAGCGUUCUGUAAGCCGUUGAAGGUGUGCUGUGAGGCAUGCUGGAGGUAUCAGAAGUGCGAAUGCUGACAUAAGUAACGAUAAAGCGGGUGAAAAGCCCGCUCGCCGGAAGACCAAGGGUUCCUGUCCAACGUUAAUCGGGGCAGGGUGAGUCGACCCCUAAGGCGAGGCCGAAAGGCGUAGUCGAUGGGAAACAGGUUAAUAUUCCUGUACUUGGUGUUACUGCGAAGGGGGGACGGAGAAGGCUAUGUCAGCCGGGCGACGGUUGUCCCGGUUUAAGCAUGUAGGCGGAGGUUCCAGGUAAAUCCGGUACCUUAUUAACGCUGAGGUGUGAUGACGAGGCACUACGGUGCUGAAGUGAUAAAUGCCCUGCUUCCAGGAAAAGCCUCUAAGCAUCAGGUAACACGAAAUCGUACCCCAAACCGACACAGGUGGUCAGGUAGAGAAUACCAAGGCGCUUGAGAGAACUCGGGUGAAGGAACUAGGCAAAAUGGUGCCGUAACUUCGGGAGAAGGCACGCUGAUAUGUAGGUGAAGUCCCUGCGGACGGAGCUGAAAUCAGUCGAAGAUACCAGCUGGCUGCAACUGUUUAUUAAAAACACAGCACUGUGCAAACACGAAAGUGGACGUAUACGGUGUGACGCCUGCCCGGUGCCGGAAGGUUAAUUGAUGGGGUUAGCGGCAACGCGAAGCUCUUGAUCGAAGCCCCGGUAAACGGCGGCCGUAACUAUAACGGUCCUAAGGUAGCGAAAUUCCUUGUCGGGUAAGUUCCGACCUGCACGAAUGGCGUAAUGAUGGCCAGGCUGUCUCCACCCGAGACUCAGUGAAAUUGAACUCGCUGUGAAGAUGCAGUGUACCCGCGGCAAGACGGAAAGACCCCGUGAACCUUUACUAUAGCUUGACACUGAACACUGGUCCUUGAUGUGUAGGAUAGGUGGGAGGCUUUGAAGCGUGGACGCCAGUCUGCGUGGAGCCGCCCUUGAAAUACCACCCUUUAAUGGCUGGUGUUCUAACGUAGACCCGUAAUCCGGGUUGCGGACAGUGUCUGGUGGGUAGUUUGACUGGGGCGGUCUCCUCCCAAAGAGUAACGGAGGAGCACGAAGGUUGGCUAAUCCUGGUCGGACAUCAGGAGGUUAGUGCAAUGGCAUAAGCCAGCUUGACUGCGAGCGUGACGGCGCGAGCAGGUGCGAAAGCAGGUCAUAGUGAUCCGGUGGUUCUGAAUGGAAGGGCCAUCGCUCAACGGAUAAAAGGUACUCCGGGGAUAACAGGCUGAUACCGCCCAAGAGUUCAUAUCGACGGCGGUGUUUGGCACCUCGAUGUCGGCUCAUCACAUCCUGGGGCUGAAGUAGGUCCCAAGGGUAUGGCUGUUCGCCAUUUAAAGUGGUACGCGAGCUGGGUUUAGAACGUCGUGAGACAGUUCGGUCCCUAUCUGCCGUGGGCGCUGGAGAAUUGAGGGGGGCUGCUCCUAGUACGAGAGGACCGGAGUGGACGCAUCACUGGUGUUCGGGUUGUCAUGCCAAUGGCACUGCCCGGUAGCUAAAUGCGGAAGAGAUAAGUGCUGAAAGCAUCUAAGCACGAAACUUGCCCCGAGAUGAGUUCUCCCUGAGACUUUAAGUCUCCUGAAGGAACGUUGAAGACGACGACGUUGAUAGGUCGGGUGUGUAAGCGCAGCGAUGCGUUGAGCUAACCGAUACUAAUGAACCGUGAGGCUUAACCUU